AAAACAGGGAUGAACGCUGGCGGCGUGCUUAACACAUGCAAGUCGAGCGAACAAAGCGGGAGGGAGUCUUCGGACGAAGCCCCGCUGCGUGAGCGGCGGACGGGUGAGUAACACGUGGGCAACCUGCCCUAUGCACAGGGAUAACGCACCGAAAGGUGUGCUAAUACCGGAUAAAGCGAGAUGUCCGCAUGGACGACUCGCCAAAGCUUUUGCGGCAUAGGAUGGGCCCGCGUCCCAUUAGCUAGUUGGUGAGGUAACGGCUCACCAAGGCUGCGAUGGGUAGCCGACCUGAGAGGGUGAUCGGCCACACUGGAACUGAGACACGGUCCAGACUCCUACGGGAGGCAGCAGUGGGGAAUAUUGCACAAUGGGCGAAAGCCUGAUGCAGCAACGCCGCGUGAGCGAUGAAGGCCUUCGGGUCGUAAAGCUCUGUCCCAAGGGAAGAUAAUGACGGUACCUUGGGAGGAAGCCCCGGCUAACUACGUGCCAG
rnacentral:rRNA from 1 species